UCCCCACUCAUGUUUGUAGGACCCCAAAGGAUCACCAUUAAAGUUGGUAUAGAUCUAUAAAAAAGUUAUCACAUGUCUGUGAGACUUGACUUUUCUAUAGAUCUGUGCCAAAUUUAAUGGUGAUCAUUUGGGGUCCUAUACACAUCGGUGAGAA
rnacentral:pre_miRNA from 1 species